CGCAUCUGUGCAUGCAGCAUAUCAAUAAGCGGAGGAAAAGAAACUAACAAGGAUUCCCCUAGUAACGGCGAGUGAAGCGGGAAGAGCUCAAAUUUGAAAUCUUAAAGGGUCUCCCUUUACGAAUUGUAGUUUUAAAAGAAGUGUUUUCUGUGAGGUUUUGGUAAAAGUUCUUUGGAAUAGGACAUCAUAGAGGGUGAGAAUCCCGUAUUUGACCUUUACUUUCAACUUUGUGAUACACUUUCAAAGAGUCGGAUUGUUUGGGAAUGCAGUCCAAAAUGGGUGGUAAAUUUCAUCUAAAGCUAAAUAUUGGCGAGAGACCGAUAGCGAACAAGUACCGUGAGGGAAAGAUGAAAAGAACUUUGAAAAGAGAGUUAAACAGUACGUGAAAUUGUCAAAAGGGAAGCGUUUGACACCAGUGUUGUUUUUCUGAAAAUCAAUUAAAGAACUGUUUAUGCUAAGUUGUUUAGACUUUAUCAGCUAUCUGUUUAGUUUUGAGCUUUUCUUUAAUGCACUUUUCAGUUAACAAGUCAACAUCAAUUUCUUUUGCUGUAAAAAAGCUUGAGGAAGGUGGCUUGAGAUUCGUCUUAAGUGUUUAUAGCCUCUUGCCUAUGCAGUCGGAGAGAUUGAGGUCUGCAGCGUAGAUCCUUCGGGGCUAAAUGCAUUUGUGCUAAGUUAUAGCAUUUUAUAGACAACUUGUUGACUAUGAUUUGUCUUGUAGCUUACUCGCUUAUGUUAUUUUACCUACGCUUAGGAUGUUGAAGAUGUAGCACAUCAU
rnacentral:rRNA from 1 species